UGAUGAGGAGAUGCUACUGCAUUGAAGCAGUCUAUGUCAGACUUCCAAGAAAAGCUCGCACUGUCGUAAAUAAAUAAUGCCUGUACCAUAACCGACACAGGUGGGUAGGUAGAGUAUACUAAGGGGCGCGAGCUAACUCUCUCUAAGGAACUCGGCAAAAUGACUCCGUAACUUCGGGAGAAGGAGUGCCUUAUAUUUAAGGUUGCAAUAACAAGAUCCAAGCAACUGUUUACCAAAAACACAGGUCUCCGCUAAGUCGUAAGACGAUGUAUGGGGGCUGACGCCUGCCCAGUGCCAGAAGGUUAAAGAAGUUGGUUAGCAUUCGCGAAGCUGGUAACUGAAGCCCUGGUGAACGGCGGCCGUAAAUAUAACGGUCCUAAGGUAGCGAAAUUCCUUGUCGGGUAAGUUCCGACCUGCACGAAAGGCGUAAUGAUUUGGAUACUGUCUCGGAGAGGGGCUCGGUGAAAUAGACGUGUCUGUGAAGAUGCGGACUACCUGCACCUGGACAGAAAGACCCUAUGAAGCUUUACUGUAACUUGAAAUUGAAAUUGGACUUUAUUUGCGCAGUAUAGGUGGGAGGCGUUGAUUUUAUUCUUGCGGGAAUUUAGGAGCCAUCAGUGAGAUACCACUCUGGUAAUGUUAGAUUUCUAACUUUGUAUCAUGAUCUGGUCAAAGAACAGGUUCAGGCGGGCAGUUUGACUGGGGCGGUCGCCUCCCAAAUGGUAACGGAGGCGUACAAAGGUUUCCUCUGAACGUGUAGAAAUCGUAUCUAGAGUGUAAAGGCAUAAGGAAGCUUGACUGUGAGACCUACAAGUCGAGCAGGGACGAAAGUCGGUCUUAGUGAUCUGACGGUGCUGAGUGGAAAGGCCGUCACUCAACGGAUAAAAGUUACUCUAGGAUAACAGGCUGAUCUCCCCCAAGAGUUCACAUCGACGGGGAGGUUUGGCACCUCGAUGUCGGCUCAUCGCAUCCUGGGGCGGUAGUACGUCCCAAGGGUUGGGCUGUUCGCCCAUGAAAGCGGUACGCGAGCUGGGUUCAGAACGUCGUGAGACAGUUCGGUCCAUAUCCGGUGUAGGCGUUAGAAUAUUGAGAGGAGCCUUCUUUAGUACGAGAGGACCGAGAAGGACAUACCUCUGGUGUACCAGUUAUCGUGCCAACGGUAAACGCUGGGUAGCUAUGUAUGGAGAGGAUAACCGCUGAAAGCAUCUAAGUGGGAAGCCCACCUCAAGAUAAGUAUUCUCAUCACGGAAGUGAGUAAGGUCACGGUAAGACUAACCGUUUGAUAGGCAUUAAGUGGAAAUGUAGUAAUAUACGAGCUGAGAUGUCCUAACAGACCGAGGACUUG
rnacentral:rRNA from 1 species